UGCCCAUGCUGAUGUUGAUACCUCUUGGU
rnacentral:piRNA from 1 species